CGGUGUUUAACUGGCGUGAUGUGGGACGUCCUACCGGUGGGCUUAGCCUCGCGAGGGGCGGCCCAACUAAUAUCCCGUCGCGGUGCUCUUUUACUGAGUGUCGAGUCGGGCCGGUACGUUUACUUUGAACAAAUUAGAGUGCUUAAAGCAGGCUAUCCUCGCCUGAAUACUGCGUGCAUGGAAUAAUGGAAUAGGACCUCGGUUCUAUUUUGUUGGUUUUCGGAACCCCGAGGUAAUGAUUAAUAGGGACAGAUGGGGGCAUUCGUAUUGCGACGUUAGAGGUGAAAUUCUUGGAUCGUCGCAAGACGGACAGAAGCGAAAGCAUUUGCCAAAAAUGUUUUCAUUAAUCAAGAACGAAAGUUAGAGGUUCGAAGGCGAUCAGAUACCGCCCUAGUUCUAACCAUAAACGAUGCCAGCUAGCGAUCCGCCGAAGUUCCUCCGAUGACUCGGCGGGCAGCUUCCGGGAAACCAAAGCUUUUGGGUUCCGGGGGAAGUAUGGUUGCAAAGCUGAAACUUAAAGGAAUUGACGGAAGGGCACCACCAGGAGUGGAGCCUGCGGCUUAAUUUGACUCAACACGGGAAACCUCACCAGGCCCAGACACCGGAAGGAUUGACAGAUUGAUAGCUCUUUCUUGAUUCGGUGGGUGGUGGUGCAUGGCCGUUCUUAGUUGGUGGAGCGAUUUGUCUGGUUAAUUCCGAUAACGAACGAGACUCUAGCCUGCUAAAUAGGCGUACCUUAUGGUAUCGCGAAGGCCCCCGGCUUCGGCCGGUGGGUUUUUACUACCAACGUACAAACAAAUCUUCUUAGAGGGACAGGCGG
rnacentral:rRNA from 1 species